rnacentral:rRNA from 1 species
UACGAAGGGGGCUAGCGUUGCUCGGAAUUACUGGGCGUAAAGGGCGCGUAGGCGGAUAUUUAAGUUUGGGGGUGAAAUCCCGGGGCUCAACCUCGGAAUUGCCUUCAAAACUGGAUAUCUUGAGUUCGGGAGAGGUGAGUGGAACUCCGAGUGUAGAGGUGAAAUUCGUAGAUAUUCGGAAGAACACCAGUGGCGAAGGCGACUCACUGGCCCGAUACUGACGCUGAGGCGCGAAAGCCAGGGGAGCAAAACGGGG